rnacentral:tRNA from 1 species
GAGGGUGUAGCUCAGUGAUAGAGCACAUACUCAGCAUGCACAAGGUCCUGGGUUCAAUCCCCAGCAACCUCC